ACAGAAUGGCCGUUGUGACGUCACACUCAAUAUUCAGCUACUGUUCUGUAUCUGGUUCUAAUAAGAACCAGAGUCUCAUUCUUUUACUGAACUUUGUGUUUCCAAGCUGUUUAUCUGUCAUGUUAUGGUAAAGGUGAUAUUAAUGCUGUCUUUUAGGAGUUUUGCAGGAUUUGCAGUGAGUGCAGUUGGAGCUGUUGUCAUCAGUGCUAGAGCUUAUUAUGUUUGUAAGCAGGGAAAUAAAGAGAGAAGGGGACCUCAAAUACAUGCCUGUCCAUGAAGGUAUUUUUACAAUUCUUCCAGACCUUGUACGCUUUCCAUCAGGAGUCUUUCCUAUAAAAAAACAUGGCUGUUUAUGCUUUUCUAGAACAACAGCUGGCUUCCACGAAUCUCCCUUUUGCAUCCUUAUUCCUUCUGCAGGUUGCAGAUCAGGUAAGUCUUUAGUCAUCUGGUCGUAAUACUGCUUCUCUUUCUUCUGUCUCUGCUUAAGUUGCUCGUGCACUUGAGACAUUGUCUCUGUCGUAAGCAAUGCAGAUGAUGUAGGCAGCUUCGUCCUGAGAUGUCUCCCCAUCAGUAAUUGUGCAGGUGAUAAUCCUAUCCCUUCCAUUGGUGUGUUGCGGUAUUGCAGUAGUGCUAUAUACGGAUCACAUUGACUACUCUGUGAUUUCUUUAAGAGAUUUUUCACUUUUUGCACUGCUCUAUCGGCUUGUCCAUUAGAUUUGCAUAACCAGGUCUUGAAGUCACAUGCCUGAAUUCUCAUUCCACUGGAAAACUUGAAAAUUCAGCUCUUGCAUACUGAGGUCCAUUGUCAGAUAUUACUAUAUCCACAAUUCCAUGUCUUGCAAAGAUGGAUCUCAUUUCCCUGAACACAGGUUGUCAUGUCCAUGAGUAGUUUUACCUCAGUGUAUUUUGAAAAGUAGUCCACACAUAACAGGAAUGCUGAACCAUUAUGGUAAAGAAUGUCUGUACCUAUUUUUUCCCCCAAGGUCGUCCUGGCACAUCAUGUUGGAACAAUGGCUCUGUUUAUUGUUGUUCCUGUUUUCAUUGCAGGUAGCACAUCUGGAUACUGCAUCCUGAAUUUGUGUCGACAUACCUGGCCAGUACAAAAUGUCUCUACCUCUUGCCUUACAUUUGACAAUUCCCAGGUGUGACUCAUGUAUUUUGUUGAUCAUUUCCUGUCUUAGUUGAUUUGGAACAAUGAGCUUAUUUGCAUUGAAUAACAGACCAUCUUUAUGACUGAUUUCCUCUCGAAAUGUCCAGUACAGCUGUAUUGAUCUUUGCAUCGUAGAUCAUUCUUUUGCACACCCAUUCAGCACUGACUUUUUUAACAUUUGCAUCUCUACAUCCUCUGCUGUGGCUUUUUUGAAAUGAACUUUGCCAGAUAUUGCACUACUCCUAGAAAUCUUUUCAGUUCUUGCUUUGUGGUGGUGGAAUUUCAGUCUCUGCCCUUAUCUUUUCUUCAUCUGGUUUAACUCCUUGAGCACUCAGUAUGUAUCCUAUGUAUUUGAUCUCCGUCAUUUUUAUUUUGCACUUAUUUCUGUUGAGUUUUAAUUUUUUAUUUGCACAUUCCAGCAGCUUUGUUAACCUUUCAUCAUGCCCUUCAAUCUCUUCAAUGAAGUCUCCCCACAUUAGCAAGUCAUCGAUGAUAUUUACCACACCUUCCAGUCCUUCUAUCAUUUUAUGCUAUGGAUCCCUGAAAGACUUCUGACGCUGAGGAUAUACGAAAAGGUAACCUAAGAAUUGUAUAGCCCAUUUGGCCUGUUCAUUGUGCAAAGCUUUGCACUUUCUUGAUCCAGCUUUAUCUGCCAAAACCCUUGAUUUGCGUCUAACACAGAAAAGUACUUUGCAUUUGGCAUUCUUGAGACCACAUCUUCUACUGUCACCAUUGGAUAAAGCUCUCAUUUUAUUGGCAGAUUGAGAUCUUUAGGAUCCAUACAAAUACGCAUUUUCUUCAAUGUAACUACAGUUACCAUGCUGUUGACUCAUUCAGUUGGCUCAGUUUGCCUUGCGAUGACCCCCAUCUGCUCCAGUCUUUGUAGUUCUUCAACCACUUUCUCUCGCAGAGCUACAGGUAUCCUUCUUGGUGUGUGCACAACUGGUCUGACAUUUGGAUCAAUUUGUAUGUGGUGAUCUCCAGGUAAACAUCCUAAUCCUUCAAAUACAUCAUCAAAAUCCUUGAGAAUGUCACUGCUCUUUUUAAUUUCAUACAGCCUUUUAAUUAUGCCCAUUCUCUGACAUACAGCCCGUUCUAGAGUGGCGAGUGCAUCAUUCAUUAUUUCAAACAGGAUUUUGUAUUUUUGUCCUUUGUACACACAAUUCAGUGCUCUCUCGCCCAAUGGCGCCAUCUUGUGUACAGAAUACAUAACAAGUUUGCAGCUCUACCUCUGCAGUCUCCCUGAUAUGUUUAGCAACUUGUAUACUUUUUCUGACAGAACAUUACAUUCAGCUCCUGUAUGCAGUGUCACUUUAACAUUAUCCACUGUCACUUUAACACUUUAUCUGGAUUGUCUUGACCCAUUGUUCAUCCUCUUUACUUGAGUUGCUGGACAUUUCAUUGCUUUUUUUUCCACUGUUACUGUACCAAUAAACACGUUACCAUCUUGUUCAAUCAUGUGCAUUCUUUUAUUCUGACUCUGCAUGUCUUUGGUGUUACACAUCUUUGCACAAUAAUUUUUCUUCUGACAAGAUUUACAUGUUUUCCCUUAGGCUAGGCAUUUUCUGUACUCUGCUGCAUUCCUAUAUCAUCACUGAUGUCUGCUCUGAUUUGGUGUCGCUUUUCUUUGGCUUUAUACAUUCACCUUUGUCUACAUUUACUUCAUCAUUGAGUGCUUUCAUCUGACUCGUCAAUUGUUUCUGCAGACCUUUGCGAUCUCGUGAAAAACACGUGUCUGAUGUACGGUAGGUUUUUCUGAGGCUCACAGUAAUUUUUAAACUUGUCUUUUAGUACUUGUAUUUUAUUUCUCUCCUCUUCUGUGAACUCAAAUGUAUUCCAUACUUUUAUGGCCUCUUCCCUUUGCACCAUCUCAGACUGAAAAAGACUUAAGACACUGGAGACUUUGUGAGUUACUUAUUGUACUUUGUGUAUUCUGUACAUAUUGUAUACAUGCUCUCUUUGGAGUACAUUGUGCAUUUUGAAACCUUUUUUCAGCCUCUAACAUCCACAAGUGAAAAGCUGUCCAGUUUAUUUCUACCCUGUUCUAACUGUUACAAGCUAAAUCUGCCGCCGUCUGGGAAGCCACACUCCGUCACCCACCGCACCAAUUGUGACACAGAAUCAGAACCAUAAUUAUUUCUCAUAUAAUUCACAUUAGGUCCAGUGACACACACUGGGUUUUUAUUUAGCUUGCUCUUAGAAAUACUGUUGCCCAUGACUAUCUUAGUUUAUUGUUGACAGUCUCUGCACCAGAGAGCGUGUGCUAUGUGUGUGUGUGUUAUCUUUUGUUUUGGCCUUUUCUCUUUUCCCCAAACCUGCUUUGCUCUCCGGAGAGUCUACACCGAGCUCGUCAGCUCUUAGCGGCGGGUUUUCUCAAAACCUCGCAAACAAGACACCUUUAGCACCUAAUCCCAGAUUAGUGCCGUGCUUUACUUUUAUAUUCUUAGGCCUUGCACUAGGUGCCUAUCCAGGUCAUUGAUCUGUCGACAGAUCCAGGUUUAAAUCCUGUCUUUACAGCACUUUCUACACAGAGACAACCAACAAUAUUCACUAUUCAACACUAAUGAAUUCAACUAUGGUUUUCAAAAUAAAACCCUUAAAACUUUAGCAGAUUAAGCAGUGUUCUUUAACACAAA